AAACGGUAGCUAAUACCGCAUAACGUCUACGGACCAAAGUGGGGGACCUUCGGGCCUCACACCAUCGGAUGUGCCCAGAUGGGAUUAGCUGGUAGGUGGGGUAAUGGCUCACCUAGGCGACGAUCCCUAGCUGGUCUGAGAGGAUGACCAGCCACACUGGAACUGAGACACGGUCCAGACUCCUACGGGAGGCAGCAGUGGGGAAUAUUGCACAAUGGGCGCAAGCCUGAUGCAGCCAUGCCGCGUGUGUGAGGAAGGCCUUCGGGUUGUAAAGCACUUUCAGCGAGGAGGAAGGCGUUGUAGUUAAUAACUGCAGCGAUUGACGUUACUCGCAGAAGAAGCACCGGCUAACUCCGUGCCAGCAGCCGCGGUAAUACGGAGGGUGCAAGCGUUAAUCGGAAUUACUGGGCGUAAAGCGCACGCAGGCGGUCUGUUAAGUCAGAUGUGAAAUCCCCGGGCUUAACCUGGGAACUGCAUUUGAAACUGGCAGGCUAGAGUCUCGUAGAGGGGGGUAGAAUUCCAGGUGUAGCGGUGAAAUGCGUAGAGAUCUGGAGGAAUACCGGUGGCGAAGGCGGCCCCCUGG
rnacentral:rRNA from 1 species